UACAGAGGGUGCAAGCGUUGUUCGGAAUCAUUGGGCGUAAAGGGCGCGUAGGUGGCCCGGUCAGUUCGUGGUGAAAGCGCGGGGCUCAACCCUGCGUCGGCCAUGAAUACUGCCGCGGCUGGAGCACUGUAGAGGCAGGCGAAAUUCCGGGUGUAGCGGUGGAAUGCGUAGAGAUCCGGAAGAACACCGGUGGCGAAGGCGGCCUGCUGGGCAGUUGCUGACACUGAGGCGCGACAGCGUGGGGAGCAAACAGG
rnacentral:rRNA from 1 species